AUGCAUCUGGUGCUAUCUUCACAGUUUAUGGACCUUCCAGCAUGGUCAUCCAAUCUUCUGCUCCCAUUGAAACAGCCAAACAAACCUCAGCACCAGCUUCUUAAAAAUAUUGUAUACCCACUGGCAUCCACCCCCAGUUCCACUGUGACAACCUCAACCCAGCCUCCAUUUAUCAACACAACCGCAUCAAGGGAUCGCCUCCUGGCCUCAUCCAUCAAACAGGCCACUGUCUGCAGACGUUCCGGGAUUUGUUGUAUUUGGGAUUAAAUGCGGAGGUGGGGGGUAAAAUUAACGGGGUUUCUAUAAAUAUAACUUCUCUGGCUCUUGUUAAAACUCUAGGGGUCACAGGAAAUCUCUGGUUUCAAACAAGGCUAUGCAGAGUGAUCCUGUUUACUCGAAAUGUCUAGCCAAGAUCUAACUUUGCCCCAUUAAUACUAAA
rnacentral:lncRNA from 1 species